rnacentral:rRNA from 1 species
UACAGAGGGUGCAAGCGUUGUCCGGAAUCACUGGGCGUAAAGGGCGCGUAGGUGGCCUGGUAAGUAGGGGGUGAAAUCUCGCGGCUCAACCACGAGGCUGCCUCCUAAACUGUCAGGCUUGAGCAGAGUAGAGGCAGGUGGAAUUCCCGGUGUAGCGGUGGAAUGCGUAGAGAUCGGGAAGAACAUCGGUGGCGAAGGCGGCCUGCUGGGCUCUUGCUGACACUGAGGCGCGACAGCGUGGGGAGCAAACAGG